ACUGUGUAAAGACUGUGUAGACUGUUAUAGAGUUUUGAGUUUUGAGUUUAGGCACAUCGUCACAAUUUAGGCCAUGUCCCAUGUCGUGCCCGUAGACUGUUAUACUUCACAAAAUGAUCCUAAGACUUGAUUAUUUAUGAAAAGAUCAAUACACAUAUUCUUAACUUUUCAAAGUAUUUACCUCUUUAGGUUUUAGGACGUAAGUAACUUCUUUGCUUAAGGAGGUAAGAAUGUAAAUCUAAGUACAAAAGGUCUUUUCUCAUAGUGCCGUUUAAAAAAAAAGUAUAUCCAACAAAAUAUUUGAUUGUCAAAAAAUGUCAAUGUCAGAUAUAUUUAUAAAUACAUUUCUGUAUAGCAUGUAAGUUAUGCCUUCAGUAAAAGAAUUCUAUGUGAAUAUAUUACAUAACAGUCAUUGUAUACAUAAUGUCAAAUAAAUAUACAACAUACCACAGCUCAAUGCUCAUGACAGACAAAAACAGAGGACACCCCUGCUGAACCCAGCACUAGUGAGUCUCUGAACAGACGUGAGACUCUUUGUUCAUAUGUGGGAGUCUUUGAACUCAUGUGAGAGU